rnacentral:lncRNA from 1 species
UCUGUGGGCUCUACCCAGUACUCAGCCACAUUAGGGAAAACUCUAGAAAUACCCCUAAAAAGCUCAGCUCCGUUAGACCGGAGUCAUACUGUAACCGACCAGCGGCCUCCAACUCCAGUAUUGGGCCUAACUAUCCUCUCUAGAAUCCUUAACGUGGCUUGGGAUAAUAUGUCAUCCCCAGCCGCACAAUCAUGAGACCCAGUCUCGGCCACAGGUGAAGCCUGUGUCUCAUUUGUAUCCAAAUUAGGCAAGUUGCCAAAAAAUGUGGACUCACCUUGAGCACCUCUAUGGCCUCCACCACGGCCUCUUGUACCC